rnacentral:rRNA from 1 species
UCAAGUACUCAAGGGUACAUGGUGGAUGAUUCGGCUAUCAGAGGCGAUGAAGGACGUGCUAAGCUGCGACAAGCUUGGGGUAGGUGCACAGAACCGUUGAUCCCAAGAUUUCCGAAUGGGGCAACCCGGCGAGGUUCAUACCUCGUCACCCUUUAUGGGAGCGAACCCGGCGAACUGAAACAUCUCAGUAACCGGAGGAGAAGAAAUCAACCGAGAUUCCGUAAGUAGCGGCGAGCGAAAUCGGAACAGCCCAAACCGAGGGGUUUACUCCUCGGGGUAUGGAGCCCGUUGUGGGACUGUGAGCACGAGUAGAAGUAUCUGGAAAGGUACCCGACACAGGGUGAUAGGCCCGUACACGAAGUGUGAUCAGCUCUAGGGAAUUCCUGAGUAGCGCCAGUCUCGUGAAACCUGGCGUGAAUAUAGGUGGACCACCAUCUAAGGCUAAAUACUCCUGAUAGACCGAUAGUGAAGAGUAGGGUGACCGAAAAUUGAAAAGCACCCCUGGCGGGGAGUGAAAGAGUUCCUGAAACCAUGUACUUACAAGCGGUCAUGGGCCUAUGGUUCGUCCAGGUUCAUGGCGUGCCUUUUGCAUAAUGACCCAGCGAGUUACCGUAUCAUGCGAGCUUAAGCUGUUCAGCAGCGUAGGCAGAGCGAAAGCGAGUCUGAAUAGGGCGUUUAGUAUGGUGCGGUAGACCCGAAACCAAGUGAUCUAUCCAUGAGCAGGUUGAAGCCUGGGUAAAACCAGGUGGAGGACCGAACCCACGUAAGCUGCAAAUUGCGGGGAUGACUUGUGGAUUGGAGUAAAAGGCUAAUCAAACUUGGAGAUAUCUGGUUCUCGUCGAAAUAUAUAGAGGUAUAGGCUCGAGUAAUAGUUACCGGGGGUAGAGCACUGAAUGGGCUAGGGGGCCCACCCGCUUACCAAACCCAAUCAAACUCCGAAUACCGGUAACCGUAUCUCGGGACUCAGACUGCGGGGGACAAUCUUCGUAGUCGAGAGGGAAACAACCCAGACCAACAGCUAAGGUCCCUAAAGUAUUGCUCAGUGGUUAAGGAAGUCGAUGUGCGUAGACAGCCAGGAUGUUGGCUUAGAAGCAGCCACCAUUUAAAGAGUGCGUAACAGCUCACUGGUCGAUGCAUGUCGGUGCCGAAAAUGUCCGGGGCUAAGCAUACUACCGAAGCUUUGGGUGCAGCUUUGCUGCGCGGUAGACGAGCGUUGUAUGUGCGCUGAAGCUAUACCGAAAGGAGUAGUGGAGCGCAUACAAGUGAGAAUGCUGGGAUGAGUAACGAUAAACAAGGUGAGAAUCCUUGUCGCCGUAAGCCUAAGGUUUCCUCCGGAAGGUAAAUCCGCGGAGGGUGAGGCGGACCCUAAGGCGAGGCCGAAAGGCGUAGUCGAUGGAUUGCAGGUUAAUAUUCCUGCGCUUGUGUAUGUGUGCCCACGGAGGACGCAUGAAGCUAACAAAGUGGAUCUAUUAGCUGGACCACGUAGUUAUCCGGUUUGUUCUUUUGAAAGAUUGAACGCACGCUUGGUAACUGCCAAAGGCCUUGAGCCAUAUAAGUUUGUGAUGCUAUGGUGCCGAGAAAAGCCCGUCGGGAGAUAAUGCAUACGCAACCCGUACUAAAACUGACACAGGUAGGCGAGGCGAGUAGCCUCAGGCGCUCGAGAGAACUCUGGUCAAGGAACUCGGCAAAUUAGCCCCGUAACUUCGGGAGAAGGGGUGCCUGCUUCGGCAGGCCGCAGUGAAGAGGCCCAACCGACUGUUUACUAAAAACACAGGACUCUGCUAACUCGCAAGAGGAUGUAUAGGGUCUGAUGCCUGCCCGGUGCUGGAAGGUUAAGGGGAGUUGUUAGUGCUUGCACGACGCUUCGAACCGAAGCCCCAGUAAACGGCGGCCGUAACNAUGACGGUCCUAAGGUAGCGAAAUUCCUUGUCGGGUAAGUUCCGACCUGCAU